rnacentral:rRNA from 1 species
AACGAACGCUGGCGGCAUGCCUAACACAUGCAAGUCGAACGAGACCUUCGGGUCUAGUGGCGCACGGGUGCGUAACGCGUGGGAACCUGCCCUUAGGUUCGGAAUAACUCCCCGAAAGGGGUGCUAAUACCGGAUAAUGUCUUCGGACCAAAGAUUUAUCGCCUUUGGAUGGGCCCGCGUUGGCUUAGCUAGUUGGGAGGGUAAAAGCCUACCAAGGCGACGAUCCAUAGCUGGUCUGAGAGGAUGAUCAGCCACACUGGGACUGAGACACGGCCGAGACUCCUACGGGAGGCAGCAGUGGGGAAUAUUGGACAAUGGGCGAAAGCCUGAUCCAGCAAUGCCGCGUGAGUGAUGAAGGCCUUAGGGUUGUAAAGCUCUUUUACCCGGGAUGAUAAUGACAGUACCGGGAGAAUAAGCUCCGGCUAACUCCGUG